UUUCUAAGUUUGCUUAACGCGUGCAGCCUGCUGUCUGCCUUCCUCGCUAGAUUUUACUUCUUGACCUCGUGGUUUUUGGGACUUUCGCCAUUAAAUUUACUCAUUUUUCAACACUGUUCAAGAAGUGUCGUGAAGCACAUCAAUCAGGAAUAUCAUCGGGAUUUCGACUCACAUUGGUAGGGCACUUGUUGAUGACUUCCAUUACAGUGGAACAAUUACAGCUAGUACUUACAGCAGUUAAAACACAUGGAUAAUAUUGAAACUUAUACAAAAAAAAAUCACCAGCAUUCACAAGGGAGUGGGUUCAUAAGGACUGGCAAAGUUUUGAUUUUGCCCUUGAUCUAAGGAAGUUGUCUUUCAAACGGUAAUAUGAUGUUUUAUGGGCACCAUGUAUAAAAGAUCUUCAUUAGCAUUCCAGAAACUUCUUCACUGCAGCAGUUAUCCUUUGGUAAUAAUCAGAAAUUCUAUGCAUUUACUGAAAGAUCCAGGAAUGAUUGCUACUGGAACAUCUAUGAACACUCAAAAUCAGGUGUGAUUUUGAUAUCAACUCCUUUGGUCCUACGUUACUUAACCCUUUGGGUUAAAAAAGCUACGCCCGAGAAAUUUCCUUAAGGAAUAACAUUAGUGGUAUUACUUUCUUUCGUUUACAAUCGGUUUCUCACUUAUAAGGUGCCACCAGCCAACUCAACAACCAGAGGAGUGCUAGGCAUUUGCGGGUGAACGUGAAAAUAGUUGACCGCCUGUUAAUUGUAAUUCCGAUUUUGCUUAAAUUUUUAUUUUCAACGGUGCAUAUACAUAGUUGAGUUGCUGGUAAUUGUAAUAGCCAUCAUCCUCUGUUAAGUCUUUCAAAAAUCGUAAGACCUAUCAAGGUUACUUAAUGUUGUUAAUUUACAUUACGCCAGAAAAUACACCAGCAGUCAGCCACCAGGCAGUAGGUUUACGAGGACUACCUUGCCUUGCUAAAGUGUAAGGUUUCCCUAGGCUCUGCGUAACCAUCAACAAGGGGAUGCGAAACAUCCGACUGACUGUCCCCGAUUACGUAUCUGCUGAAAGGUAAGGUUGUGUCAAUCUCUUCUUGGGAAAAGCAGAAUAGCUGAGUGUCGGCCGAGUUGGUGUGAAAUGGGGUGA